ACUAAUUCUGCCAACAUGGCGGCGGAUUUGAAGUUUCGCGCACCCAAAACAAGUCGUCGAAUAAUNCCCAAAGACCAACAAAAGCUUUAUAGNGUGGAUGCAAAUUGUUAUUUAACAAUUCCUGAUGUCAAAAGAGGGAUUUGGUAUGGAAUUGUUGCUGGACUAGCUAUUAUCAGCUAUUCUAACAGUUUUCAAUGUGAACUGGUCCAUGACGAUAUUUUUGCGAUCAAAGACAACUUGGAUGUACAUGGAAACACUUCGCUCUUGGACGUCUUCAAGAAUGAUUUUUGGGGGAANCCAAUGUCAAGUAAUACAAGCCACAAGUCCUAUAGACCUUUGUGCGUGCUUACAUUCCGCNUAAACUUUUUAUUCCAUGGUUUCGACCCUCUCGGGUUUCAUAGCGUGAAUGUAUUUCUACACGUUUUGGUGUGUUGUGUAUUUCUGCAUUUUGUCGAGCUUCUCGUGUUCAAGUCUAUACGUUUAGCUGUCGUAUCUUCGUUAAUAUUUGCUACUCACCCUGUGCAUACUGAAGCCGUGACUGGUGUUGUAGGGCGUGCUGAUGUACUAGCAUGCCUUCUGUUCUUGCUGUCUUUUCUGUCAUUUUACAGAUCUACAAGGAAUACUGGCAGUGAUCAGUGGUUUAGCUUAAUAACCUGUCUUGUUCUUGGUGGGACGGCCAUGCUGGUCAAGGAACAGGGGAUUACUGUAUUAGCUGUUUGUGUCUUAUAUGAUGUAUUUGUCUUGAAUCAAAUGUGGCAUAGAAUAUGGAAAAAUGGCUGGUCCAAUGUAUUUCCUNUUCCUGUACCACUUGUCAAAAGAGUCAUCACUUUAAUGAGCAUGACAAUAUUCCUACUUCUGUUUCGUAUAUGGAUGCUUGGCGGUAGUCUACCACAGUUUAUCAAGCAGGACAACCCUGCAUCAUUUGCUGAAUCUUUAUCAACACGUAUCAUGACAUACUGCUUUCUUUUNNCCUUCAAUNCCUGGCUUCUAUUAUCUCCCAAUAAGCUUUGCUAUGACUGGCAGGGUGGAAGCAUUCCAUUGGUUGAGAGUGUAUGGGACCCUCGUAACUUAGCAACCAUUAUGUUUUUUAUUGUCCUUGGAAUUCUUGUGUGUCAUUGUCUUUUAUGUAAACAGGAAGGAGAACAUAAUGCCCUGUUGGUUGGAUUGAUAUUACUAGUGAUACCGUUUCUACCAGCCAGUAAUAUUUUUCUUAGAGUAGGAUUUGUUGUAGCGGAGAGGAUUCUUUACAUUCCUAGUAUGGGAUUCUGUAUACUGGUUACGUAUGGAGCAAAUAAACUAGCAAAACAACUAACUAGCAUUCCUUUACCAACUAAACAACAAAAUGGCUUAAAUAAACCUAAGACUGUGAUGACAACAAAGGCCACUAUCAUUACACUUGGGAUCUUCCUGCUNAUUGCUGUGUUCUGUGUUAAAACUAUCAAGAGAAAUGAGGUUUGGAGAAACAGAGAAACGCUUUUCAAAUCCGGUGUGGACACACUUCCUCAUAAUGCCAAAAUACAUUACAACUAUGGCAAUUACUUAAAGGAUAUAGGAAAACAUGAAGAAGCCAUACAACACUACAGGACUUCCAUACAUUUGGAGCCUGAUCAUGUGAGUUCUCACAACAAUCUUGGAACAUUGCUGGACAAUGAUAUUCAGGAAGCAAUCAAACACUUUGAGAUAGCUAUCAAGUAUGACCCAAUGCAUGCUACGUCCUACUUCAAUCUUGGUGUAAGACUUGGAAUGUUGAAGAACUUUCAAAAGGCAGAACAGAUGCUGAGAGAGGCCAUAAGGCUUCAACCNGGAUACACCGAUGCAAUGCUUAAUCUCGCUGCUUUGUUAAGUGAGCAAAAUAGUAUGGCAGAAGCUGAUGCUCUUUACAGGGACGUACUUGCACUGGCACCUCAUAAUGCUAACGGUUAUAAUAACUAUGGGGUCUUCCUUGUCAAGACAGGGAAGCAUAAUGAAGCAUUAAAUUCGUAUAAGCAAGCAAUCAAACUGAAAGGCGAUCAUUCUGUUGCCUAUGUAAACAUGGGACGACUGAUGAAGAGUCUCGGGGAGUUUGACAAAGCUGAGAAGGCUUUUAAGAAAGCUUUAUCAAUCAAGAGAGACGAGUCUACCCUUCAGUUACUGGGGGUUUUGUACUACAAUCAAGACAGGUUAUCUGAUGCUGAAACUGCUUGGAAUCAAGUCUUGGAGAUCAACCCUAAAAAUGAAGAGUCCAUGUCAAACUUAGGGAUAUUGAUGAGUCGCGUUGGUCGCCAUGCUGAUGCCGUGCAGUUUGCAGCAAAGGUUUUGAACCUCAACUCUGACAAAUCACAACACUACAAGAACCUUGCCUCAGCAUUNGAACAAUCAGGACAGAUUACUGAGGCGAUCAAGAUCCUCNCGGCUGCCCUGACAAAAUUCCAAACCGCUGACCUCCACUAUCACCAUGGUAAUCUACUAAAAGACGUCAAACGUUACGAUGACGCUAAGCAGAGCUUCAUGAAUGCUGUAAGAAUUGACCCCACCCACUCAAGUGCGCAUAUGAAUCUUGGUGUAAUUCUACAUAUGCAGAAUGACUACACNCANGCCCGCAGUCAUUACGAAAUAGCGUUAUCAUUNGAUCCACACAACUUGGUCUUACAACAAAACCUGGAAAAGUUAAAGAGGCUGCAAGCUAGAAGUCANAGAUCAGAUAGAAUAGUGAGAUAACAUAGCAAGGAAAUGCAUGCAUUCAGUUGUUUCAAGCUAAAGCUGCGAAAAAAAUGUGAAAUGGUGAUGUGUUACCUGUGUUGUACCAGUCUCCCAUGGACAAGCGGGAAAAUCAAAAUGGCCGCCAUGUUGAACAAAACAUGUGAGUUGAAAAACAUUGCCGUCUACAUUGAGAAUGAAUCAGCCGCGGUACACAGGAUCCUUUCAAGCCUGCAUGUGUACUUGGAUACAGUGGACAAGGCUCAUUGUUGCUACUCUAGCAAUCAGCAAUCACGACUUGAUUUUCAAACCAAUAAAAAUAAGCAUCCCUUCCCUUCUCUUCNUUGCCAGGACACAUUGGUCCUGAUGCCUGUUUCCUUGGUAACUGUUUUCUAAUCAAUCUCCCCUCAGCAGAGGAAACUCUCCUUUCUGUUGUCAGUGUUGUUGAUUCCGAGUACUGAGACACCUAGUCUUAGGGGAUUUUUCAUUAGUCAAAACUGACUGACCAGUAUUUUGUCUUUUCAGUUCACAUACUUAAGUGCUCUUUGGCUAUCACCUUUUGUUAUAUGGCUGUUUUAUACGCAGUUUUUAGUCAGCAGAUUUUUAUCCCCAGUCUAGCAGAAAACACUGCCUCUUGACAAAAGACAUUUUGAACUUCUUAUAGACUUUCGCUCAGUUCUGAGUAUUGAAAAGCACGUCCCGUAGUAUGUAGAAUAGUCCAAACUCCCAAACAGAACUCAACAAUGAGAUUAGUCUCAUUUGAACAUAUACAAAUUCUUGUAUUUCGUCAAGGUAACAUUUCAUAAGGAGUUUGNACUGUUCCACUUCUGGUUUCUAUACCAGAGUUACAUUCCUUGCUCUCUGAGUUUGGAAGUUUUCUUUUAUCAGGUAGAGUGCAUGCCNCACAUUCCGUGAAAAAAAAAUUAAUACUACUUUAAGAUAAGAAUUCAUUCAGGCUUUUCUUGGUUGGCAAANUUAUUUUCUUUGGUAAUAGUUUUGCAUUUAGUGUUGUGUAAUAAUCGAUUAUUUUUUCACUUCACGGAAUUCAGUCGUGCACUCUACUACUUAACAAAAAAUAAAAUGCACAAGGUUGGACAGAACUGGAGUGGUUACACAUAACCUGUCAUUUAGAGAGCAACACACUGGUUGAAAUAGAAAUACUAUUACUAGNAAGAGUCUAGAACAUUUCACAGGGGAAGUGUAAUGACUCCAGUUGUCCAAUUCUGCUUGUUACAGUUCCCAAAUGAAAGUAACAUGAACUUACUGUGCUAAGCAUAAAUAAUUAUUCUAAUUAAUGGUUGACUUGNAAAUUUCGCAUCAGUUCUCAGACAAAGGAAUCAAGACGAGGCGCCNUGCAUAAAGCUCAAUCACUAUUGUCUUUUCAUGUCUUGAUUCCUUUGAGUGUGAAAACUGAUGCAAAAUUCUUAAGUCGACUAUUGAAUUGAGCAAUCUUUCAAUGCAUCGUUGACUUCUAGUAUUCAUUUGGGAAAUGUAACAAGGAGUAAGUCUUGAUAUUUAGAUUUGAUGGGAUUACCAGAAUGCUAUCAUUUAUUGAUUACAUGUGCAAUGCAUUCUGGUAAUUUCAAUAGUAUCACUGAAUUAGACUUAAACACUUAUUCCCUUGGGAAUUAAAAUAUGGCAAAAUAAAAUACUAUGGAGGAUUA
rnacentral:misc_RNA from 1 species